rnacentral:rRNA from 1 species
UACGUAGGGUGCAAGCGUUGUCCGGAAUUAUUGGGCGUAAAGAGCUCGUAGGCGGUCUGUCGCGUCGAAUGUGAAAACCCGGGGCUCAACCCCGGGCCUGCAUUCGAUACGGGCAGACUAGAGUUCGGUAGGGGAGUCUGGAAUUCCUGGUGUAGCGGUGAAAUGCGCAGAUAUCGGGAGGAACACCAAUGGCGAAGGCAGCUCGCUGGGACGGUACUGACGCUGAGACGCGAAAGCGUGGGGAGCAAACAGG